GGCUGGAUAGCUCAGUUGGUAGAGCAUGAGAUUCUUCAUUCCAGGGUUGUGGGUUCAAGUCCCAUGGUGGGUG